rnacentral:sRNA from 1 species
AAAAUAUGGUCCGAUUUGGCCCGUUCAAGAACUUAACCAGCGUGCAUCAAUGAGACGUAUCUGUGCCAAAUUGCAACUCAAUAUCUCACAUUUUCGGUCGGAAAUUGAUAUUUCGAUGUGUUGUAAACGCAAUGACUAAAUGAAUAUUCCCCCUAUCCUCCGGUGGUGGGUAUAAAAAUAGGCCAAAAAUUCUGCAAGAGUAUGGCGAAACCCUUUUAAAGCACCUAACUCAACUAGUCAAAAAUGGCGUAUGCAACAUUCAUCAAGGACAUGUCGAUUUGAAACUACAAAAAAUGCAGACCAAGAUGAAGGAGCAUAUGAGGACCAAAAUCCAAUUUGUCAUCUAAUAUGACACCUAAGCGUUCCAGUUGAUCUACCAAUUGUAUAGCGAUGCCAUUAUGGAAAAUAUCGAAAGAUGUCGGUUGAGAAGAAAAUAUCAUGGCCUUCGUCUCCUCAUGAUUAACCUUUAAUUUAUUCCGUGCCAUCCAAUCCUGUAACAUGUGCAUGUUGUCAUAUACCAUGGAUCUAUGCUCUCCUGUAACUAAAAUUUGAAUAUCAUCAGCAAAUAAAUACAUAGAGCAAUAAUCACCAUCUCCAACAAUGAAA